CAGCCGCCACGGGAAUACGUAGGGUGCAAGCGUUAAUCGGAAUUACUGGGCGUAAAGCGUGCGCAGGCGGUCCGCUAAGACAGAUGUGAAAUCCCCGGGCUUAACCUGGGAACUGCAUUUGUGACUGGCGGGCUAGAGUAUGGCAGAUGGGGGUAGAAUUCCACGUGUAGCAGUGAAAUGCGUAGAGAUGUGGAGGAAUACCGAUGGCGAAGGCAGCCCCCUGGGCCAAUACUGACGCUCAUGCACGAAAGCGUGGGGAGCAAACAGGAUUAGAUACCCGAGUAGUCCCUGUCUCUUAUAC
rnacentral:rRNA from 1 species